rnacentral:rRNA from 1 species
AGAGUUUGAUCAUGGCUCAGAUUGAACGCUGGCGGCAUGCCUUACACAUGCAAGUCGAACGGUAACAGGUUAAGCUGACGAGUGGCGAACGGGUAAGUAAUGUAUCGGAACGUGCCCAGUCGUGGGGGAUAACUGCUCGAAAGAGCAGCUAAUACCGCAUACGACCUGAGGGUGAAAGCGGGGGAUCGCAAGACCUCGCGCGAUUGGAGCGGCCGAUAUCAGAUUAGGUAGUUGGUGAGGUAAAGGCUCACCAAGCCGACGAUCUGUAGCUGGUCUGAGAGGACGACCAGCCACACUGGGACUGAGACACGGCCCAGACUCCUACGGGAGGCAGCAGUGGGGAAUUUUGGACAAUGGGCGCAAGCCUGAUCCAGCCAUGCCGCGUGCGGGAAGAAGGCCUUCGGGUUGUAAACCGCUUUUGUCAGGGAAGAAAAGGUUCUGGCUAAUACCUGGGACUCAUGACGGUACCUGAAGAAUAAGCACCGGCUAACUACGUGCCAGCAGCCGCGGUAAUACGUAGGGUGCAAGCGUUAAUCGGAAUUACUGGGCGUAAAGCGUGCGCAGGCGG